AUUGAACGCUGGCGGAAUGCUUUACACAUGCAAGUCGAACGGCAGCAUAGGUGCUUGCACCUGAUGGCGAGUGGCGAACGGGUGAGUAAUACAUCGGAACGUGCCCAGUCGUGGGGGAUAACGUAGCGAAAGUUACGCUAAUACCGCAUACGAUCUAAGGAUGAAAGCGGGGGACCGUAAGGCCCCGCGCGAUUGGAGCGGCCGAUGUCAGAUUAGGUAGUUGGUGGGGUAAAGGCCCACCAAGCCAACGAACUGUAGCUGGUCUGAGAGGACGACCAGCCACACUGGGACUGAGACACGGCCCAGACUCCUACGGGAGGCAGCAGUGGGGAAUUUUGGGCAAUGGGCGCAAGCCUGAUCCAGCCAUUCCGCGUGGAGGACGAAGGCCUUCGGGUUGUAAACUGCUUUUGUACGGAGCGAAAAGCCUUGGGUUAAUACCUCGAGGUCAUGACGGUACCGUAAGAAUAAGCACCGGCUAACUACGUGCCAGCAGCCGCGGUAA
rnacentral:rRNA from 1 species